rnacentral:rRNA from 1 species
AGCGAACGCUGGCGGCAGGCCUAACACAUGCAAGUCGAACGAACCUUUCGGGGUUAGUGGCGGACGGGUGAGUAACACGUGGGAACGUGCCUUUAGGUUCGGAAUAACUCAGGGAAACUUGUGCUAAUACCGAAUGUGCCCUUCGGGGGAAAGAUUAAUCGCCUUUAGAGCGGCCCGCGUCUGAUUAGCUAGUUGGUUGAGGUAAUGGCUCACCAAGGCGACGAUCAGUAGCUGGUCUGAGAGGAUGAUCAGCCACAUUGGGACUGAGACACGGCCCAAACUCCUACGGGAGGCAGCAGUGGGGAAUCUUGCGCAAUGGGCGAAAGCCUGACGCAGCCAUGCCGCGUGAAUGAUGAGGUCUUAGGAUUGUAAAAUUCUUUCACCGGGGACGAUAAUGACGGUACCCGGAGAAGAAGCCCCGGCUAACUUCGUG